GCAGGGCCGACCUUUGGGGUGUGCGACCGCACAGGGCGCCACACUCCAGGGGGCGGCGGCGGGGGGCGGCUUAAAAUCACUCAAGGGAGCCGGAGGUCUGUUAAAGACCUCCGAUACCGCUCCCUUGUGAUCCGCCCGGCAACAGCUGCUGUGCGCCGGGGAUUGUUGUAAGAUCCCGGCGCACAGCACUGAAGCCGCGCCCACCGCUGUCCGUGCCCUCUGACCCGGAAGAAGACAGAGAAGACAGAAGAACUGAAGAAGAGGAAAAGAA